GCCCUUCGGGGUACACGAGCGGCGAACGGGUGAGUAACACGUGGGUGAUCUGCCUCGUACUUCGGGAUAAGCCUGGGAAACUGGGUCUAAUACCGGAUAUGACCUUCUGAUGCAUGUCAGUGGGUGGAAAGAUUUAUCGGUACGAGAUGGGCCCGCGGCCUAUCAGCUUGUUGGUGGGGUAAUGGCCUACCAAGGCGACGACGGGUAGCCGGCCUGAGAGGGCGACCGGCCACACUGGGACUGAGACACGGCCCAGACUCCUACGGGAGGCAGCAGUGGGGAAUAUUGCACAAUGGGCGAAAGCCUGAUGCAGCGACGCCGCGUGAGGGAUGACGGCCUUCGGGUUGUAAACCUCUUUCGACAGGGACGAAGCGCAAGUGACGGUACCUGUAGAAGAAGCACCGGCCAACUACGUGCCAGCAGCCGCGGUAAUACGUAGGGUGCGAGCGUUGUCCGGAAUUACUGGGCGUAAAGAGCUUGUAGGCGGUUCGUCGCGUCGUUCGUGAAAACUUGGGGCUCAACCCCAAGCUUGCGGGCGAUACGGGCGGACUAGAGUACUUCAGGGGAGACUGGAAUUCCUGGUGUAGCGGUGAAAUGCGCAGAUAUCAGGAGGAACACCGGUGGCGAAGGCGGGUCUCUGGGAAGUAACUGACGCUGAGAAGCGAAAGCGUGGGUAGCGAACAGGAUUAGAUACCCUGGUAGUCCACGCCGUAAACGGUGGGUACUAGGUGUGGGUUUCCUUCCACGGGAUCCGUGCCGUAGCUAACGCAUUAAGUACCCCGCCUGGGGAGUACGGCCGC
rnacentral:rRNA from 1 species